rnacentral:rRNA from 1 species
UACGUAGGUGGCAAGCGUUGUCCGGAAUUAUUGGGCGUAAAGCGCGCGCAGGCGGUCCUUUAAGUCUGAUGUGAAAGCCCACGGCUCAACCGUGGAGGGUCAUUGGAAACUGGGGGACUUGAGUACAGAAGAGAAGAGUGGAAUUCCACGUGUAGCGGUGAAAUGCGUAGAGAUGUGGAGGAACACCAGUGGCGAAGGCGACUCUUUGGUCUGUAACUGACGCUGAGGCACGAAGGCCAGGGGAGCAAACGGG